GGUGAUUUCCACUGCUAUGUUCAUGCUCGCCAGAAUCUGGGGUUCUCUUUCCUAAGUUCCUCGUGGGUAUUGAUUUUGGGUCCCAUUCUGAUUUGAGUUAUUGUUUAAUUUAUUUCAUAUUCCGAUCGGGAUCAUUGUUUUAUCCGUCAGUACAGAUACCUUUUUUGGUUUUGGUCUGCCGAUGUUCAUCGGAAAUCAUUUAAACAAUGAUUUCUAUUUUUUGACUGGUCGGAUUCUGGGUUAGUGACUGUUUUCCCCUUGGAUUUGGGUUUGUGCAGCUUUCCCAUCUGAUUUUGGCUGUUUAUUCCAUUUUAGUACGAUUUGGGGAAACUGUUCGAUUUUUGAUUCGUCGUGCUUUGGGUGAUUCGUUUGUGAUGUUAACUGUGUUACCGAUUUUCGGAUUUACUAUUGUCUAUCUUUUCCAUAAUCCCGAUCUGGGUUGUGAUUUUACCGGAGGUUGUUAAUUUGCUUCGGCGAUAAUAAAUUCUAGGAAAGCAUGGUUAGAUGCCGGCGAUAAUAAAUUCUUGGGUUGACGAUUCAUUUUUUGGCAACGAUGAUGGAUACUUCUGGGUUCAUCGGGAAGAAAGAAGGAGAACUAGGCUUGAAUAGAAAGAAGAGAGAGAAACCAUAUUUAAAUUAAUAAUUGAUUUGUCAAAUUUAUCCUUACAAAUGUAUAGGAGAAUUAGCCAUGAAUAGAAAAUAUUAUUUUUUAA
rnacentral:lncRNA from 1 species